rnacentral:misc_RNA from 1 species
CCGAGUCGUCGACACGAGUUGUUGCUGGUUCUCUAGGGAGCAUGUGCACGCCUUGUCAUCUUUAUAUCUCCACCUGUGCACUUUUUGUAGACCUUUCAGGUCUAUGUUGCUUCAUUUACCCCAAUGUAUGUUAAUAGAAUGUUGUGCCUAUAUAAUAUAUA